AAAAAAAUGCUGAUUAUAGCUAUAUAAUUCACUAAAGAAUAAUAAUCCACAAAAAUAUGCAUCACAAAAAUUUUACCUAGAAAUCAGAAUAAAAAACUGAUCUCCACAUACUGCACAAUUUCUGUAAGCAGUCAUCAAAAUACAACUUUUCACUUGCUGUUUAAGUUCUCAAGUAGAAUUUCCGAGCUAUCAAACAUUCUCUGAGGCAUCUUUUUUUGACUCCUCUGCACUCCUUGCAGCAGCCAACCUCUCAGCCGCCAAUCUUUCUUCCAGUGCUCUAGCUCCACGUUCUCUCCUCCUAGAUGCCUCGAUGGGGUCUGAACCAGGCAAUGGAGCCCCUCCCAGAGUAUAACCAUGUGCUUCAGUAGAAGUGUCGGAUCUUCCACAAAGCAUCCGAUGGAAUAUUGAUGCAAUGGGAUCAAUAACUGGUCUAAGGAAUUCAGGAAAGAAAGUAGAGAAUGCAAAAUCAUCAUUUGGAUCACCCCUUAGUUUUGCUUCUGGUUUCCUCUGUAGGUAUCUUAGGUAAAUCCAACUUGUAUACGUGCCAAAUAUAAUGGUUGGAAGAUAUGCUGUUGAAUCAGGCGUAAAGAAGCUUACAGCAAUAGCUAGCAAGAGUGCAAAGAUGAAAGCCACUUUGCCUUUAUUGUGAAUAAGGGCAGUUCUUGGUCAGGUAUAAUUUGCUUCAUACCAACCAAGAAACCUGACAAGAUCCCUUGGAAGCCAGAAAUGGGCAUAUAGAGGUAAUUUUCCUGCCUCAUUAUGUAGUACAAGGCAAUAGUUGUAAUGAAAACACACACAUAAGUAAGACAGUUGACUAUGAAAAUGAACUUCAAGAACUCCUUAGAACCCCACACAGGUUCAAGUAGCUUCCCCAUAAUAAGGAGGAAUAAAGUGCUGACAACCACCCCAUAUAUUGAUUGUUCAAUGUAACCAGCUGUAAUGAGGUUCCACGCAAAAGGAAUUGUCUUGGCAGGAAUAAGAGCGAGAUAUGAAACAGCAGGAGGCAAAAUCUGAACUACAAUGUGACCGGCAACAAGAACCACAGCCAGACCCUUGCAUAGCCUCGUGAAUCCAGUAAAGAAACCGGUGCCUGCAGAUAUCGCCGGCGAGCUCAUAAUGAAGAAACGAGAGUUUAGCAAGAGAAGAUGGAAGGUUGGAGAAGGUGGAAAAUGUAUAGGUGAUUUGGUGUUAUUGGGUUGGAGAGAGUAGAUACGACUUUCUUCGUCUUUGCUGUUUAGG
rnacentral:misc_RNA from 1 species